UACGUAGGGUGCGAGCGUUAAUCGGAAUUACUGGGCGUAAAGAGCGCGCAGGCGGUCGGAUCAGUCGAAUGUGAAAGCCCCCGGCUCAACUGGGGAGGGUCAUUCGAUACUGUCCGACUCGAAGGCAGGAGAGGGAAGCGGAAUUCCCGGUGUAGUGGUGAAAUGCGUGGAGAUGCGGAGGAACACCGAUGGCGAAGGCAGCCCCCUGGGCUAGCACUGACGCUCAGGCACGAAAGCGUGGGGAGCAAACAGGG
rnacentral:rRNA from 1 species